rnacentral:rRNA from 1 species
GGUUAAGCGACUAAGCGUACACGGUGGAUGCCCUGGCAGUCAGAGGCGAUGAAGGACGUGCUAAUCUGCGAUAAGCGUCGGUAAGGUGAUAUGAACCGUUAUAACCGGCGAUUUCCGAAUGGGGAAACCCAGUGUGAUUCGUCACACUAUCAUUAACUGAAUCCAUAGGUUAAUGAGGCGAACCGGGGGAACUGAAACAUCUAAGUACCCCGAGGAAAAGAAAUCAACCGAGAUUCCCCCAGUAGCGGCGAGCGAACGGGGAGGAGCCCAGAGCCUGAAUCAGUGUGUGUGUUAGUGGAAGCGUCUGGAAAGGCGCGCGAUACAGGGUGACAGCCCCGUACACAAAAAUGCACAUGCUGUGAGCUCGAUGAGUAGGGCGGGACACGUGGUAUCCUGUCUGAAUAUGGGGGGACCAUCCUCCAAGGCUAAAUACUCCUGACUGACCGAUAGUGAACCAGUACCGUGAGGGAAAGGCGAAAAGAACCCCGGCGAGGGGAGUGAAAAAGAACCUGAAACCGUGUACGUACAAGCAGUGGGAGCCUCUUUAUGGGGUGACUGCGUACCUUUUGUAUAAUGGGUCAGCGACUUAUAUUCUGUAGCAAGGUUAACCGAAUAGGGGAGCCGAAGGGAAACCGAGUCUUAACUGGGCGUUAAGUUGCAGGGUAUAGACCCGAAACCCGGUGAUCUAGCCAUGGGCAGGUUGAAGGUUGGGUAACACUAACUGGAGGACCGAACCGACUAAUGUUGAAAAAUUAGCGGAUGACUUGUGGCUGGGGGUGAAAGGCCAAUCAAACCGGGAGAUAGCUGGUUCUCCCCGAAAGCUAUUUAGGUAGCGCCUCGUGAAUUCAUCUCCGGGGGUAGAGCACUGUUUCGGCAAGGGGGUCAUCCCGACUUACCAACCCGAUGCAAACUGCGAAUACCGGAGAAUGUUAUCACGGGAGACACACGGCGGGUGCUAACGUCCGUCGUGAAGAGGGAAACAACCCAGACCGCCAGCUAAGGUCCCAAAGUCAUGGUUAAGUGGGAAACGAUGUGGGAAGGCCCAGACAGCCAGGAUGUUGGCUUAGAAGCAGCCAUCAUUUAAAGAAAGCGUAAUAGCUCACUGGUCGAGUCGGCCUGCGCGGAAGAUGUAACGGGGCUAAACCAUGCACCGAAGCUGCGGCAGCGACGCUUAUGCGUUGUUGGGUAGGGGAGCGUUCUGUAAGCCUGCGAAGGUGUACUGUGAGGUAUGCUGGAGGUAUCAGAAGUGCGAAUGCUGACAUAAGUAACGAUAAAGCGGGUGAAAAGCCCGCUCGCCGGAAGACCAAGGGUUCCUGUCCAACGUUAAUCGGGGCAGGGUGAGUCGACCCCUAAGGCGAGGCCGAAAGGCGUAGUCGAUGGGAAACAGGUUAAUAUUCCUGUACUUGGUGUUACUGCGAAGGGGGGACGGAGAAGGCUAUGUUGGCCGGGCGACGGUUGUCCCGGUUUAAGCGUGUAGGCUGGUUUUCCAGGCAAAUCCGGAAAAUCAAGGCUGAGGCGUGAUGACGAGGCACUACGGUGCUGAAGCAACAAAUGCCCUGCUUCCAGGAAAAGCCUCUAAGCAUCAGGUAACAUCAAAUCGUACCCCAAACCGACACAGGUGGUCAGGUAGAGAAUACCAAGGCGCUUGAGAGAACUCGGGUGAAGGAACUAGGCAAAAUGGUGCCGUAACUUCGGGAGAAGGCACGCUGAUA